rfam:Salmo salar isolate Sally breed double haploid chromosome ssa02, whole genome shotgun sequence.
GAAACUAUGUAGUGAGUAAGUCGCUCUGGAUAAGAGCGUCUGCUAAAUGACUUAAA